rnacentral:lncRNA from 1 species
CUUAACAGAUGUGGAUGAUGAUUCCGACUUUGAUGAUUCCUAGAACGAUAUAUCAUCUGGUGAAGACAAUUUGAAAUUUGAGAAGAAUGUGAUUGAAGGAAUUGAGUUAGGUUGUGCUAGGGGUGCAACCGAGCAAGAUGAAGAUGAUAAUGCGGUAAUGCUACACGACAAAGACCAUGAUGCUGAUGAUCCGGAAUGUCCAUCAUCUGAAGAACUGUUGUCCGCUAUGUUAUCCGAUGAUGAGAUUGGGUAUCGGUUUCCAAAGUUCACGAUAGAAAUGGAUAUGCGAGAUCCACAUUUUCAAGUCGGGCAGUUGUUUAGUUCUGUUAAAGAAUUUAGAAACGCUAUUCGGACUUACGGUGCAAUAAAUGGAUACAAUCUGAAGUGUAAGGCGAAUGACGAAAGAAGAGUUCAAGGCAUAUGUAAAGCAAAGUACGAAUGGAGAUUAUAAGCUUAGAAGAUGAAUAAUUUAGAGACGGUGCAAGUGAAGUCAUAUAUGCCUCGACACACAUGCAGUAGGAAUCAAUAUAAUUGUCAUUGCAACUACAUUUUCAUAGUCCAUCGGUAUUUCGAGCAGUUUAAGGCAGAUCCGAAUUGGAAAACGAAAAGUAUGCAAGUGACCGUGAAGGAGGACCUGAAGAUAAAUAUUACUAGAAGCGUCGCCUGGAAAGCUAGAAGAUAUGUGAAGCGGAUGAUAAACGGGACUAUCAAAGAACAAUUUAUCCAACUGAGGUCCUAUAUAGCGGAGGUCUUGAGAUCCAAUCCAGGAUCAACAAUGAUAAUCGCAAUUAAUGGUCAGGUGUUUCAAGGCAUCUAUAUUUGCUUCAGUGCUUGCAAAAUGGGGUUCCGACAUGGGCAUCGAAAGAUCAUUGGAGUAGAUGGGUGUCACCUUCGCGAUGUUUGGAGAGGUAUAAUGCUCACUGCAGUCGGUCUCGAUGCGAACUACUGCAUCUAUCCUGUUGCUUAUAUCGUUGUCCAGAAAGAGAGCACGAUUGCAUGGAGAUGGUUUAUUAGAUAUUUGGUCGAGGAUAUUCAAAUGGGAGAUGGUACUAAUUGGACUGUGAUGACAGAUAGACAAAAGGGCUUAAGUAAUGUCCUGGAUGAGUUAUUUCCAGCGAUUGAUCAUAGGUUCUGUGCAAGGCAUAUGUAUACAAACUUCUUCAGUGCAAGGUUCAAGGGAAGGAGUCUGAAGGAUUUUCUUUGGCGGGCUACUAAGUCAACCACAGUAGCUGACUACAGACAGUGGAUGCAACAUAUUCGCCAACUUAGUGAAGAUACGUGCAAAUGGUUGAUAGAAAGGCAUCCAGCUAAAUGGAGUUAAUCUCAUUUUGGGACACAUUCGAGAAGUGAUAUUUUGUUGAACAACUUGUACGAAGUAUUCAAUAAGAUAUUGAUUGAUGAUAGAGAGAAAUUUAUCUUAACGAUGCUCACGGAUAUACAAUUGAGGUUUAUGAAAAGGAUAGAGAAGCGUCAUACUAUGAUGAGGAGAUGCAGAGGUCGAUUGCGUCCAAGAAUUAAAAAAAAAAAGACUAGCUAAGAUCACAGAUAUGUCUACUGAAUGCAAUGCACAUUACACUUUUCUGAAGGGCCUAGAUGGCAGGUGGAUUGUAGAACUGGGACAUAUGUGGUUGACUUAGAAGAACGGAGCUGCGCAUGUGGGAGUUGGGACUUGACGAGAAUUCCAUGUAGUCAUGCUAUUGCCGUUAUACGAGAGUGUAGAAAUGAACCUGAGGACUACGUACAACUGCUAUACAGUUGAAACAUAUUUGAUAUACUAUGAUCACAUUAUGAAUUCGAUUAACAGGAAAAAUUGUGGCCCCAGUUAGAUACCCUUCCCAUCAUGCCACCUUCGUGAUCUACUCCAAAAUGGGGAAGAAAGCAACAAAAAAAGAGGAGGAGAGCGGAGUAAGAUGUGAUAGAACACUCGCAAGGAAAAUUUAUUGCGAAGAGAAAAGGAAUGGUGUCCAUGACAUGCUCACUGUGUGGGUUACAAGGGUACAAUAAAAGAUAUCACAGCAGGGUAGAUGCACCUUCCCCAGUGAGUACUUAUUUGACUGCUAUUUUAUUGUUGUUCUGUAAUCUACUAAGUGACGAAGUAAUGAAAUCUUAUUUUACAGGAUUAGGCUGACGUACCUUUGGAGGCAAUAGAGUCUAGAAGGUCACUUGAUAUAGACAACAUGAGACAUGUUAAGUGAUUGCAUUCUUAAUUUACUGUUCUUUUGUAUAAAUCUAAUUGUUGUUUUCAUUAUUGCAUAUCCAAUAACUUAUAUUUCUUUCAUUGAUCAGAGAAAGCUUACACCAGACAAAGGUGAUAGUCAUUCUUCCAGUCAAGCACGGGUAGAAUAACAGACUUUCCAUUUCAUGCCUACUUCGGGGGUAGGGAUGCAAUCCGAAUCCGUAUAUGUCAUGGGCCAACAACUUCAAUGCCUACGACUGAACAAGUCCUUCAUCAAGUAUUGGUGACUGAACAAAUUGAACUUGAAGAUAAGGAGGACAAACUGAUUGGGGGUAGACGUAGACAGACAUCUUGAAGGCAGAAUCAGUUGAAGAUAGGCAUCCAACAUGCAGCCUCCGUAUUUUUUUUAUUUUUUAUUUUUAUAUUAUUUUUUUUAAGUAUCACAUCUAUGUAAGUAAAUGUGAUGGAGGCAGUUUUUUUUGUUUGAUGGUUGGGGCUCCAAAAACAUGUUUGUCGUCACUCAUUUUUGUGGUUGAAUGAAUGUAAUGGAGGCAGCAUUUGGUUGAAUGAAUGGUAGGCAUGGUUUUUGCAACCGUCGCUGAUUUUUUGUUUGAGUUGCUGUAUUUUGAAU